GUUAAGGUGGCAGAGCCCGGAUAUUGCAAAAGACCUAAGACCUUUCCACAGGGGUUCAACUCCUCUCCUUAGCU
rnacentral:tRNA from 1 species